CGUAGGCUUACACGCAUACAAAGUUACGGUCACAUCGUGAUAAGUUGCUAGACGCUUGCAGUAAUGGUAUAUGGGAUCUGUUAACCUGUGAUGUCGAUACGUUUGUUUUUAAUUUUAAAGCACUUUUAUUAAAAUUGGAAUGGCUGGUAAAGUGUGGAAUUCAGAAAUAUGGAAAACAUGGGAUAAACAUGGAAAAAAUGAUUUCCUCAAGCUAAUCAAGCACUUAUUUAAGGAAGGCAACGCAGCAGAAUGGAGAAGAGGAUUGUACGAAUUAAUUUCAAAUGGAAUCCAUGGAAAUAUAAAAAAGGAUAAUGUUAUUGCUACAUUGAGCGAAGUUACUAAUAUUGAUUGGGCAAUACCAUCGGCAAUAGUAGAUAUAUUUACUCUAAUCGAUGCUGAAGUUCACACUGAAGACAGAAAUAAUUUUUAUUACAUUGUAAAAGAAUCUGAGAAGGUAUUAACGGACAGGAUAAUAAAAGAACGUUUAGAAAUUGAAACAUUACAAGAUGUAGGAACAUUAAAAAAUAGAAGUUUCCAAACAAAAUUUAUUAAAGUGAAAACGAAAUUAUAUUACAAACAACGAAAAUUUAAUUUAUUUCGAGAAGAAAGCGAAGGCUAUUCAAAACUUAUUGUAGAAUUAAAUCAAGAACGUCCAGAAAGUGAAGUAGCAUCAACAUUAGAAAUUGUGAAAUCUCUGAUUGGAUAUUUCAACCUUGAUCCUAAUCGUGUACUUGACAUUUUAUUAGAAACUUUUGAAAAUCGAUCAGAAGCUGAUGCAUUUUUUAUACCUUUAAUUCGUUCAUAUAUGAGCGACCAGCAAGUACUUUGUGAAGUUUUAGGAUUUAAAUACAGCUCUACUAUCAAUGCAACACCAUUUUCCCUGCAAAAACUUACUGCGCUCAUGCUUCAACAUUCUGUAAUACAAUUGGAUGAUAUGCUUCCUUGGCUAGUACCAGACGACGAGACUAUUAUUAAAGAACACGAACAAGCAAUGAAACAGGCUAAAGAGUACGUUCGUAAGUUAAGUAUAAUUUCAACUAAAGAUAAAGAAGAGGUGCCAGAAGAAAAAGAGAAUCCACAGGCUAAAUAUGCGAGUAACCAAAAAUUUGGUUUAUGUGAAGCAUUAUUAGAAAUAGGAGCUUGGGAAGUAACGCAAGCUCUUUUUAGUCGAUUACCGGAACAUUGUUUUACAGAUCAACGUCCUAUUGCAUUAGCCCUAUGUAAAAUGAUUCAAGCUCUUAUAGAGCCUGUUUAUCGAAAAUAUUGCAUAAUAUCACCUAAAUUACAAGGUCGAAAAAUCCCUCCAUUAAAAAAUUCUCUUGCACCAAAACCAAUAUGUAGUUUAGAAGAAAUACAUGACCAAUUAUUACCUAUGUUAAUAGUUCUUGGUCCCAAUUUACAUCAUGAUCCAAUUUUGUUAUACAAAGUUAUGAGAUUAUGUCAUGCUGCUAUCAAACAAUGUCCAUUAGAUGCAAACAAGCAACCAGUUGACAAGAACAGUACUCUUUAUUAUGAUGUAUUAACAAUACUUGAUGUAGCAUUGUUACCCUCAUUGUCUUUUAUGGAUUGUAAUUGUUGUGUGGCAGAAGAAUUAUGGAAUAUUUUAAAAUACUAUCCAUAUCAGAAUCGUUAUUGUUUAUAUGCAAGAUGGAAAAAUGAUACUCCUCUUCAACAUGCGGCCCUCCUUAGAAAACGAGCAGAUGCUCAGAAAAAGAUUAAAUCAAUCAUGAAAAGAGUCAGCAAAGAAACUAUUAAACCUGUUGGAAGAUCAAUUGGUAAAUUAACACAUUCUUCUCCUGGGGUAUUGUUUGAUUAUGUCCUAAUACAGAUUCAGUUGUAUGAUAAUCUCAUAGGACCAGUUGUAGACUCAUUGAAAUAUUUGACAAACAUUUCUUACGACGUACUUGGAUAUUGUCUUGUGGAAGCAUUAGCAGGAGCUGAUAGAGAUAGGUUUAAACAUGAUGGAACCAGUAUAUCUUUAUGGUUACAGUCUCUUGCAUCAUUUUGUGGAGCUAUUUUUAAAAAAUAUAAUAUAGAACUUACAGGUCUAUUGCAAUAUGUAGCGAAUCAACUUAAAGCACAAAAAAGUUUAGAUUUAUUAAUAUUAAAAGAAAUAGUACAAAAGAUGGCAGGCAUUGAAGCUGCUGAAGAAAUGACAGCAGAUCAACUAGAUGCCAUGGCUGGAGGAGAUUUAUUGAAAAAUGAGGCCGGAUAUUUUAGUCAGGUUCGUAAUACGAAAAAAUCGUCACAGCGCCUUAAAGAGGCUCUUGCUGAACAUGAUUUAGCUGUAGCUCUCUGUCUAUUAAUGGCACAACAAAAACAUUGUGUUGUCUACAGAGAAACAGAUAAAUCUCACCUUAAACUUGUUGGAAAAUUAUAUGACCAAUGUCAGGAUACAUUAGUACAAUUUGGUACAUUUCUGGGUUCUACAAUGACAGUUGAUGAAUAUGUAGAAAGAUUACCAUCUAUACAUUCUAUGCUGCAGGACAAUCACAUACAUGCAGAUGUUGCAUUCUUUCUUGCACGACCAAUGUUUGCACAUGCCAUUAAUAUCAAAUACGACGCUCUUCGUAAAGCCGAUCCAAAUUACAAAAAAAUGUCUAGUGCUAUAAAACAAGCUAAAUAUGCAGAAGCUGCACAAGCUGUAAUGGCACCAGUUGCUCAAUCCGUUAGACCUUUACAUCCAUUAAAAGUAUGGGAAGAUAUUUCACCACAAUUUCUAGUUACAUUUUGGUCAUUGUCUAUGUAUGAUCUAUACGUUCCCGUUGAAAGUUAUCAAAGAGAAAUUAAUAAAUUAAAGCAACUUGCUAUUCAAGCUGCAGAUUCCAAAGAUAUGAAUGCUAGUAAGGGGAAAAAAGAACAGGAAAGAUAUACUACUUUAAUAGAAAAACUACAAGAUGAAAAAAGAAAGCAAGAAGAACAUGUUGAGAAAGUAUUUGCAUAUCUUAGGCAAGAAAAAGAUUCCUGGUUUUUAUCUCGAAGUGCAAAAUCCGCAAAAAAUGAAACAAUAACACAGUUUCUGCAAUUAUGUUUAUUCCCUAGAUGUACAUUUACAACAGUAGACGCUAUGUACUGUGCAAAAUUUGUACACACCAUUCAUUCAUUAAAGACUGCAAAUUUUUCAACACUUCUUUGUUAUGACAGACUUUUUUGUGAUAUAACAUAUUCAGUCACUUCAUGUACAGAAAAUGAAGCAAACCGUUAUGGUAGAUUUUUAUGUGCUAUGUUGGAGACAGUAAUGAGGUGGCAUUCUGAAAGAGCUAUAUUUGACAAGGAAUGUAGUAAUUAUCCAGGAUUCGUUACUAAAUUUCGUGUGAGCAAUCAAUUUUCGGAAGCAAAUGACAUGGUUGGUUUUGAAAAUUAUAGGCAUGUGUGCCAUAAAUGGCAUUAUAAAAUUACAAAGGCCAUUGUAGUUUGCUUAGAUUCUAAAGAUUAUGUGCAAAUAAGAAAUUCUUUAAUAAUAUUAAUUAAAAUAUUGCCACAUUUUCCUGUAUUAUCAAAACUUUCACAAAUUUUGGAGCGUAAAGUUGAUAAAGUAAAAGAAGAAGAACGUGGUCAACGUCAAGAUUUACAUAUCCUAGCAACAUCGUAUAGCGGUCAAUUAAAAGCUAGAACACCCUGUAUGAUACGCGAAUCAGAUUUUCAUCAUGUUGGCGAUAAGGCGGGAAAAACACAGGAUACAUCAAAUAAUGAUACAGUAGAGAAAGUUAGUAAUGGAAUUACAUCUAAAGAGAUAAGUAAUGGCGAUACCAGAACAGAAAAAGAAAACAAAGAUCAAAGGGAAAAACGUACAGUGAACCAAGCACAUCACAGCGAAAGUUCUGAAAAACUUCGGAAAAAGGAGGAAAGUAAAGACGGUACGGACGGAAAAGAAAAACACACUAAAAAAGAGGAAUCAAAAGAAGACGAUGGCAUUGACAAGAAAGAUCGUAAAUAUUAUAAGGAAGAACAUUACUAUAGUGGUGGUGUGGAUAAUUUAGAUAGAGAUCUUUCUAGUGUGUCAAAUAGUAGUGCCAGUUCAGGACCAACACCGGAUGGAACAGAUAGAGUUUCAGAUGCCAAAAGAAGAAAACUUGAAAAUAUUCCAAAGCAGGAAGGUAGGAGAACAGAAGGUACUCUUGAAAAAAAGGAACGUUCUAGCAAAACAAAAAUACGAGAUGAACAAAAAGAACUUCGCAGAGAAAAAAAAUUAGGACGAAAAAGGGAUCGAGCAGAAGAAUCUGCGGUAACGAUUGAACAAAAACGAAGGAAAGAUGAUGAAAGAGCCAAAGGCGUACAUCAAAAUGGAGAUGUAGCAGAACACAGAGAAAAACAUCAUUACAGCAAGUUGAUAAAGACGUCCACUUCGAGUAUAUUGAAAAGAUGAAACAGGAGACAGUAGCAAAGACGAGAAAACAUAGGAAAAAUCUCCAUAUACAAAGGAACGUACGCAUGAACGCGAAGGACGUGAGAACAGAGACAAACAUAGAAGGAGUUCAGAUCCCAAACGAAGAUGAUGCAUGGCAACAGAAAAAAUGUUGAUUUAACAUUUUAUAUAUUACGUUUGAUGUUGCAUGUAAUUAAAGUAGAAUUCGUCAUAAUAAAGAAAAAAUAGUGGAUAAUUUGUAUAUUACGUUAACGUCCGUUUUUAUAAAAUAAACUAUUUCUCAAUCAAUUCAUAUUCUUCAAUGUGCUCUUGCACUUGAAUGUAACUUAAUCAUUUCUUAAGAAAAAAACUGUUCAUCUCAAGUUUGUAUUGAUAUGUGUUAGUUGCUAAACAAAUGUGAAAAUUGCUUUGAUAUCCGAUAAAAGUAAUAUAUACUUAUCAAGUACUUAUUAAUUGUCUGAUAAUAUUAUAGCCAAUAGAGUAAUUAAAACAAAUAAAUUUAUAGUAAAACUUU